GUUUUAUUAAAACACCUUGUGGGAAUGGAAACCUCGUCCUGUGAGAGGACAGCAUUAACAUGAAUUGUGUAAGUCUUUUUGAUUUGUUUGGUAUAAGCUAGGAAAAAACAAACAUGCAUAAUAUAUAGUGAGAGGAAGAAAGGACCCGCUACUACCAUACUUCUCCAUGCUUCAGUUCUUUUCAAUUUUAACGUGCUUUGGAACAAGAGGCCAUAAAUAUGUGCAUAAUAAUUACAUUUAGGUGUGACUGAAGGACAGCAAGUGAGCAGCUAGAGAACUUAACCUUACACUGUACUGCAACAGCCAUAGCAAGCAGGAAAGGCAUUUCUGGUUGCUCUGUGAUAGAGGAAGGAGGAACAGAAUUAAAGGGAGACAGAAUAUGGAAAUAACAAGCUGGGAUGAGAAGUAUCUGGAGAAAGGUAGGUUCAUCAUUAUGUCCAGAUGGUAAAGAUUUUGGGGAAAUGGCUUAGUCUGCCAUUUGGAGAUUUACCACAAUUUAAGGAGACUGACAGUAGUCAUGGAUA
rnacentral:lncRNA from 1 species